rnacentral:sRNA from 1 species
AUGAGUUGUCAAUAAGCGAAAGA